AUUGAACGCUGGCGGCAGGCCUAACACAUGCAAGUCGAACGAGGGGCGGACGGGUGAGUAAUGUCUGGGAAACUGCCUGAUGGAGGGGGAUAACUACUGGAAACGGUAGCUAAUACCGCAUACCAUCGGAGUGGCCCAGAUGGGAUUAGCUUGUAGGUGAGGUAACGGCUCACCUGGGCGACGAUCCCUAGCCGGUCUGAGAGGAUGACCAUCCACACUGGAACUGAGACACGGUCCAGACUCCUACGGGAGGCAGCAGUGGGAAAUUUUGCACAAUGGGCGCAAGCCUGCUGCGGCCAUGCCGCGUGUAUGAAGAAGUCCUUCGGUUUGUAAAGUACUUUCAGCGGGGAGGCGUUACCCGCAGAAGAAGCACCGGCUAACUCCGUGCCAGCAGCCGCGGUAAUUC
rnacentral:rRNA from 1 species